rnacentral:rRNA from 1 species
UACGUAGGGGGCUAGCGUUGUCCGGAAUCAUUGGGCGUAAAGCGCGUGUAGGCGGUCCGGUAAGUCCGCUGUGAAAGUCGGGGGCUCAACCCUCGAAUGCCGGUGGAUACUGUCGGGCUAGAGUGCGGAAGAGGCGAGUGGAAUUCCUGGUGUAGCGGUGAAAUGCGCAGAUAUCAGGAGGAACACCAAUUGCGAAGGCAGCUCGCUGGGACGUUACUGACGCUGAGACGCGAAAGCGUGGGGGGCAAACAGG